rnacentral:lncRNA from 1 species
UUUUCUACUCUUCUAAUCUACUAAAAACUAAAUGAGAGCAAUUUAUCAGUAAGUUCAUCAUUGAUGUCUCAAGAAGAGACGAAGUUAACACGAUUAACUGGGAUUUGAACUAGCUCUCGAGCUACAUCCUUUAUUUCAAGCACCCCUCCAUCUUUAAAUUUUGAUAGCAAUCGAGCAGUCUCUUCUUUAGUCAUCAAUAUCUUCACUUUAGUCCUAGAUAAUUUCUUCUUCUCGACAUGUCCACUACGAGUCGAAUUGUUCCUACUUUCUUCUCUUUCUAGUAAUGGCUUUGGUUCAAUUUCAAAGUGUACCUUUUUUCUCACCUUAAGAGUCAAGGGCUUCUUGUUCAACUCAUCUCUGUAAAUAUAGUGUGGCACGUCUGGUUUUUUACGAAAUUGAAUUUCAGACAUUUUUUUUAUGAGGUAAAGGAGUGGAAAAAGAGAGAAUAUUGAAUAUUCGAUGGAGGAUGUGUAGAAAUAUGCAUUACAAGUCCAUGUAUAUAAUUUCGUGGUGAGACUAUGGCAUGGAGUGCAAUUUGGGAGCAUGGACCAAGUCUUUGAUGUUUUUGUUCAGUCAAUUAAAUUAUGCCAGUUAACCCUAGAAAACCAAGAAAGACGCAAGAGAAUAGGUAAACAAGAAAAGGAUUGAAAGCUCCAAUUUUGGUAGUCUUUGCAGUUGAAAACAGCAAAGGAUUCCGAAAAUCAAGCUCAAAGAUUAGCCGGCAAGGUCGAGUCUCUUCAAUUUCCCUGGAGAUGGCCAGUGACACCAUGGUUUGCCUUUAAUUUGAUGAAUUUGUUGAAUCAUCUCAUUUAUAAGACAUCAUAUAUUAAAACUUGUAACACAAGGUGCCAAACAUGUACAUCAUUUAUACGAGGGAUUUUGCUAUUUGUAGAGAAAAAUAGCUAGAAAAAGUGACAGAAAUGAUGUGAAGUAAAAAGAUUAGAUGAAAAAUAAGAUAGAUAAAGCAUAAACCUACUACUCGUAAAAAAAACUACGUCACUUCCUUCCCUAGCGUUUAGUGGGACCUCCCAAGUCGAAAGUCCGACCAAAGGCCUACAAGGAGUGGCGGACACAGACGUUUUAAAUUGGUGGGGCACAAUCGAACUUGAAAAAAAUGCAGACUCAUGUUAAAUGUCACCAAGUUUGUCAUCAUUUUUAUUUCCAACAUCAUUUUCAUCAUUUUUAUCUCGUGAUCUUCAAAAGAAAACGUAUAUUUACGUUUAAAUUAUUUUUCCAUCACAAUCAAUUCAAGUGAAAAGUACAAAAUCACAACAAUUCUCAAUGUUACAUCAUCAAUCGCACUCCAGUCCAAACAAAGACAAAAAUUACAGCAAGAAUCCAUUACCAUAAAAUCGCCAAAACAAAAUAAAAAUUAGAGUGUUUAAGUGAUCCCCAAUUUCAUUUGAUAAGAAAAACAAAAGAAAUAAUCAAAAAGAAAUAAUUUCCUCAAAAAAGAGGCAUAUAACUUUUCAUGGAUGAAUCUUUCACAUUCUUUAAAAAAUUAAAAUUUCAUUCAAAGCUUUUAGAUUUUUUGGGGUCACGUUCUUCUGCUUCAUAUCUGAUUUCUUUUAAUAAAAAAACAAAAAUAAAAUAAAAAUAAAAAUAAAAAAUUGGUGGGUCAAGUGACCCACGAGGACCCACCGUGGGUCCGCUACUACCUGCAGGCCAAAAGAUCAAGCUGAACUUAGGUAUCUAUAUCGACUCAACCUAUUGACACCCCUAGGCUGUCCCAACUUUAGAACAUGACACAGGAUCAUUUCAUAUAUUUUUCGUCUUUAAUCAUGUAUCUCUUAUUUAAAUAUGAUAUUGCGCACUAAACAUGUUUACUUAGAAGACCUUAAAUAAUUGCUGAAGAUAAUAUUUAGUAAAAUAAGGCAAAAUAAGCAGCAGGAUAUGAAAAGCAGGGGCAAGCAAUAAAAAGGACAGUUUUGCUAGAAAAAUAGGUUCAUUGAUAGGGUUUUUUGACAUGCAUAUACUUGACAUAUUUUCAUUGGCAAUUGAAAGAAAAAUUAAUCAGAGAAUUGCCAAUUAAAAACUGUCAAAUCAAAUCCUGGAAAAAGGCUCUUUCACUCAGCUUGUUUCUUCUGCUUUUUCCUAAAAAAGAUAGUCCCUCGUACUUUUGCGCGAUGUUCCGUAGGUACUUUUUUUGGAAUCUCUCUCAAUAUGUGUGCAAAAUAUGUAAGCUCAUUCCCUUCGUGCUCACGACCGACUGGUUUGCCAGUGAUAGUGAAAAUUCUCUCGUUGCUUUAAAGACUUUUACUUGGUCUUAAUUACUUAAAUUUAUUUUAAGUGGAACCUAUUACAAUUUAACUAAAUAUAAUAAAUAACUGUGGUCAUUUUCUCUCAUAUCAAUAUCAUAGUUAAUUUUCCAACGGAUUACAUUUGACUAGUGUUAAUGAUAAAAUUAAAACGCGUCUUCACUUGUGUAACUUGAGCUUUGACGAGUCAUCGGACCAGACAAUGGGUUCAUAUGUUGAAAUAAAUUGAACGCUAUCCAUAAUUGCUAUAUAUUUACUUUAUUGUGCAAAUUCUUGUACAAAUACAGUUUUAUCCCUGACUUUUAGAUAGCAUUACGAAAAACGUCGAUUUAGUUAAAAUUUCAUAUUCAAAUUAAAAAAUAUUAAGUGGUUUGAUGAUUUUACCUUGUAACUUCAGUUCAUAUGAAUUAUUGUUCAUAUUGUCGAUUUCGAACGUAAGAACUCAAAGUCUCAAUCUCAUAAAUUCAAAAAGAUUUGGAAAGUCAAAAAUUCACUUUUGAAAAUUGACAAGCUUUUUCCACACUUUCUAAAAAGUUUGGGAGUGGAGCCCUAAUUUUUCCAAUGAUUGCAGUGCCAACUGAUGAAAAUAAGUAUAUCACUUUUUUUUCUGGCCCAUUUUAAUAUCCAAAUUUGUAUAUAUUGGGUUCGAUUAGCAACAACCUAAUUACAGUCAAGGUUAUAAAUGGUGUUAGGCAUGGAGGCCAAACCUCGAGUCUUAUGAGCCGAGAAAUAGUAAAAUAUUUUUUUUUCUAUUUUUAAUAUCAUUUUAAUUAUUUUAUACCAAUAAAUAAAAAAAUACUGCAUACCUUGAAAAUUUAUGAAUAAUGCAAUUUAUUUUCAUUAGAUAUGAUCAUCAAUCUAUGUGUCAAGUGAUGCGCUAUGAAAUAAAGGUCAAUGAAAUGUAUGACUAUGCUACACACUUUUUGAGUUAUCAUUUAGUGUCAUAUAGUUUGAUGAUAUCUCUAAUGAAGACAUAGUAUGACUCAAAAUGUAUCUUAGUUAGCCACAACGAUCUGGUCGAUAGCUACUAAGAACUAAAUGAGGACAGUUCAAUAAGGGUCUGUUUGAUUAUAAGGAGAGAAUUUGGGUGGAAAGAAAACAAAUUUCAGGGAAUUGAAUUGCUUAGAACUGUUUUUUUGGGAAUUGUCAAUUAUUGUGUUUAAUUGGUAUAAUUUUUCACUUGAAAAAUGUUGAAAUUUUGGAUCUUUUGGUAUUCGUUUAACUUUAUUUUUUAUGAAAAUUGUGAAUUAAAGAGAUAUAUAUAUUUUUUAAAAUUGCAGAUAAAAUUUAUUCCCACUGAUGAAAAUAAAAAAAAAUAAAAAAUAAAAAAAGUAAAGCCGGGGGUGAGAAUUGGUUUUCCACCAAUUCAUGGAAAAUGCACACGUGUGGGGAAAAAGAUGGAAAAUGAAUUUCAUAGAAAACUUUUGCUAUUAAACAACAAAAAAGUUAGAAAAUGGAAAAAUUUUCCAUGGAAAAUAUCCCAUAUCAAACAGGCUCUAAGUUCAUCCUCAAAGUUUCAAUAGGAGACGAAGUUAACACGAUUAACAGGGAUUUGAACAAGUUCUUGAGCUACAUCCUUGAAUUCAAGCACCCUUCCAUCUCUAAAUUUUGAUAGCAAUCGAGCAGCCUCUUCUUUAGUCAUCAAUAUCUUCACUUUAGUCCCAGAUAAUUUCUCCUUCUCGACAUGUCCACAACGAGUCGAGUUGCUUCUACUCUCGCUAUUCUUCUCACUUUCUUCUCUUACGAGCAAUGGCUUUUGUUCAAUCUCGAAGUGUACCUUUUUUCUCACCUUAAGAGUCGAGGGCUUCUUGUUCAACUCAUCUCUAUAAAUAUAGUGUGGCACUUCUGGUUUUUUAUGCGAUUGACUUUCAGACAUUUUUUGAUGAGGUAAAGGAGUGAAGAAAGAGAGAAUAUUGAAUGGAGAGACGUGUAGAAAUAUGCAUUAUGAGUCUAUAUAUAAAAUUUCGUGGUGAGACUAUGGCAUGGAGUGCAAUUUGGGAGUGUUGACCAAGUCUUUGAUGUUUUUGUUCAGUCAAUUAACUUAUGCCAGAUAACCCUAGAAAACCAAGAACGACGCAAGAGAAUAGGUAAACAAGAAAAGGAUUGAAAGCUCUGGUUUUGGUACUCUUUACAAUUGAAAACAACAAAGGAUUCCAAAAAUCGAGCUCAAAGAUUAGCCGGCAAGGUCGUGCCUCUUUGAUUUCCCUAGAGAUGGCCAGCAACACCAUGGCUUGCCUUUAACUUGAUGAAUUUGUUGAAUCAUCUCAUUUAUAAGACAUUAUAUAUUAAAACUUAUAAUACACGGUGUCAAACAUGUGCAGCAUUUAUAUGAGGGAUUUUGCUUUUUGUAUACAAAAACAGCUAGAAGAAGUGACGGAAAUGAUGUGAAGGAAAAAUAUUGAAUAAAAAAGUUGAUCGUUUUUUAAAACUGGCAAAUGAUAAAGUACCAUAUGACAUUAUGUAAGACAUUAUGUUAAGUCUUGAUUUACAUGUAGCACUGUCCUUAAAUGAGUUGCAUCACUUUUAGAGUGUGGUCUAAUAUUAUAUUGAAUUAUUUCAUGUAAAAGUUUAAGUUGUGAAAGAAAUUCAAAUUACUUCAAUUUAAGAUUCAACAAAACAAUGAAAUUCAAAUACCAAAAAUAUUUUUUUAUGGAAAUUUAACUAAUUAAUUGGUCGUUUUCUGUCAUGUUGAGAGCUUAAUUUUUCAUUAUAUUAAAUUGGAUGACUUCGUCUUAUAUCUGUAACUUGAACUUGACAAUUUGAUUUGAUUUAACGAGAUUGAAUUGAAUGGUAGACCACAAAAAAUGAAAUACAAAGAAAUAUUUAUGUUGAUGGAAUCAUUUAGCUAAUUGCCCUUAAGAAAGAAAAUAUACCAAUAAAAAUGGGUCAAGCCGUCAAGCUGCUCACGGGCUCGGUUCAAUCCAUGGGACUCAUGGAUCGGUUAGUUUUAUUUCCUCAUUUUUUGAUUUGUUAUACUAAUUUCUUAAAAUAAUUGCUUUUUUUUUUUUUUUUUUUUUUUAUUUAUUAAAUAAUUUCUUUUUUUUUUUUUUUUUUUUCAUUCAUUACUAAAAGGGGGAAAAAAAGAAAAGAAAAAGAAUUGACUCAUAAGCAUAUUGAGAGAGAGAGAGAGAGCAGGAGAACCUGCUCGAGAGACCUACAAGCUCUUUCGCAUCGUGCUCACAGCCCGACUGGCUUGCCAGUGAUAGUGAAAAUUCUCUUGUUGCUUUAAAGACUUUUACUUGGUCUUAAUUACUUGUUAGGGCCCGUUUAAUUCUCAUUUUCUAAGAAUGAAAAUGAAAAAUAUAAUCGUUACAAGACCUCAUAUAAGAAAUAAAAAAUCAUAUAUGGUGACUUAAUGUGAUGGAUAACGAUCAUAUUUUUUUAUUUUUGUGGCCAAAAAAUAAUAAUCAAAGGGGGCUUAAAUUUAUUUUAAGGGUUCGAAUCCUAAAAUAUGAAUUUGGCUCUUGGGUAAGUGCAAGUGUACAAGCAGCCUUCCAUCCUGUACCUUUAAAGGCAUAACUUGCGAUUUACCUCCCUCACGAUACUCCAGGGCAGGGGCGGUAGGGGACCCUUAAGGUUGGAGUUCAACCUUUUUUUUUUUUUUUUAAUAUCAAUAUCAUAGUUAAUUUUCCAACGGAUUACAUUUGACUAGUGUUGAUUAAAAAAUUAAAACGCGUCUUCACUCGUGUAACAUGAGCAUUGACUACUCAUCAGACCAGACAACGGGUUAAUUUUUUGAAAUAAAUUGAAUGCUAGCCACAAUUGCUUGCUUUAUUGUGCAAAUUCUCGUACAAGUAGGCCCCGUUUGAGCCUCAUUAUUUCUCAUUACAUUAAAUUAAAUUUUUUUCUUUCCUACUUUUAACCCAAUAAUUUCAAUAGAAUAAUAUGACACGUAAAUAAAAAACUUUUCAACCACUCAUUUUUAAAAAAAAUACUAUUCAUCUAAUUAUAAUUUACAAAUAAUGAGGCUCAAACGGCCCCUUAGCAUUACGAAAAUCGCUGAUUUGAAAGUUAGAAUUUCAUAUUCAAAUUAAAAAAUACUAAGUGGUUUGAUGAUUUUACCUUGUAACUUCAGUUCAUAUGAAUUAUUGUUCAUAUUGUUGGUUUCAAACGUAAGAACUCAAAGUCUCAAUCUCAUAAAUUCAAAUAGAUUUGGAAAGUCAAAAAUUCACUUUUGAAAAUUAACAAGCUUUUUCAACACUUUCUAAAAAGUUGGCGAGGGGAGCCCUAAUUUUUCCAAUGAUUGCAGUACCGACUGAUGAAAAUAAGUUUGGUGGAAAUACACAAUACCCUAUUUUUAAAAUUUGCAUUUCAUAAAUCAUAUUUUAAGGGGAGUGUAUUCAAUUGGAACUUUUAAAAACUUUGAUGGACUUUUUUUAAGUGAUGACUUUUGUGGAUUUCAUGGAUCUUUCACAAAUUUGUAUGGAUGAAGUCUUUCGUAGACUUCUAUGGACUUUCAUUUUAAAAUUUUUAUAGAUUUUUGUAGAAUUUGAAAGACUUUUGAAGACUUUCAUUUGAAAUAGAAUUCAUGUGAAUCUAGUGCAAUGGUGUGAAAUUCUUAUAUACGAGAUGUUAGUUCUCACAAUUUUCCUUCUUCACAUAUAAUAAAAAAUUUUAGACCUUAAUUAAAUAAAUAAUAAUAAAAAUUAUACAUAUAUAUGAUUCAAUAUUAUUAGUAUAGUAUACUUUUAAAGAUAAAUAUAUUUAAUUAUACAAUUUUUCAUAUUAAAUUCUAUAAUUCAUUAAAAAAAUAGAUAAUUUCACAAAAAAUGAAUGAGAAAAGAAAAAAAAAAUCCUACAAGAAUCAAAUUUAAUUUUUUUCAUAGAAAGUAGCGAUAAAUAAUAAGAGAGAAAGAAAUAUAAAUGAAAAUAAAUAUAAUCAAUAAAAAUAAAUAAAUUUUAAUCAUAUAUGUCCAUAAAAAUUUAAAAGAAAAAAAGAUUGAAAAAAAUUGUGAAAGUCCCUCAAAAUCUUGUGAUUAAUGAGAGACAAAUUUUAAGAUUUUAUAUGAGUACUUUCUGUUUAAAAGUUAGUACUCGAGAGACUUUUAUAAAAGUAUCUAAAAGUCAUUAAAAUUUAAAUGCCCCAAGACUUAUAGAGAUUUCUAAAAAGUUUUAAUUGAAUACAUCGUAAUUUUUAGAGACUUUUUAAAAGUUUAUGAAAGUCUCAAUUAAAUACAUGUGAUUUUUAGAGACUUCUUAAAAGAAAAAGUUUCAAUUGAAUACACCGUGACUUUUAGAGAGUAUCAAAAAGUCUCAAUUGAAUACCCCUAAACUUUUUAAAUCAAUUCAUCCCCAAAUUAAUCUCUCUCUGUCUCUCUCUCUCUCUCUCUGUCUCUCUCUCUCUCUCUCUCUCUUUUCCCAUUUUUUUCUUUUCUCCGGUGACUAGUGUAGUGUUGCCUCAUGCGAUUGAGGCGUGGUGGAGUCCAACAAGAAGUGACUGGAUUUGGUUGUAAAAAUUAAGAUGGAGUUUGAGUAGAGCAGUGGUGGAGUUCGGCCGACAAGGCUUACCAGAUUUCUGUCACAUAUCUGAAUUUGUGGUGGUUUGCAAUGGUUUCAUGGUGGUCAGGGAAAGCAGUGGUAGAGUCCAGCCGGUGAGGCUUAUCAAAUUUCAGUCACAUAUCUAAAUUUUGUGGUUGUUUGGAAUAGUUUUACAGUUUUUGUGGCAGAUAUGUGGUAGCUUUUGAACCAAUUUGUGGUGGUUUAUGGUGGCAGCGACAAUGGUUGCAUGUUUAUAGAGCGUGUCAAAUGUUGUGUUGACAUCUAGUGGUGUAGUGGUAGUGAUAGAUCACAAGUUUUGGGUGUGUUUUUGGGUUGGUAGGUGGGGAAAAUGGUGGUAGUGUUGGUGCUCGUGGCGGUGGUGUUUGGAGCUUUGCUGGAUUCAAUGAUGGUGGAGGUAUGUUGGAUUUGGUGGUGGAUGUGGAUUUGUUGGUGGCGGUGGUUGUAGAUCUUGGUUGGUGGGGACGGUGGCGGUUGCAGAGGUGAUGGUGUUUGAGAUAAUGGUUUUGUUGCCCGGAUUAUGAAUACUGUAGUUGUGGCUGUGGAUUGUGAUGGUGGCCGUGUUGGUGGUGGUUAUAAAUUAUUUAAUUGAUUGUGACCAUUAAAUUGGUUAAUCUGUAACCAAUAAACAAUAUUUGACCAAUAAAAAAUAUAAAUUGUGACAAAAAAAUAACGUGUGGCUUAAAAAAUUGUUAAUUUGUAACCGAUAAUUUGAUAAUUUGUGACUGUUAAUAUUUGUGAUUUGUAACCAAUAAAUAAAUCGUGACUUAUGAAUUUUUUGAUUUGUGACCGAUGAACAAAUUGUGACUUAUAAAAAUUUUGAAUUGUGAACGUAAAAUAAUUUGUGAUAUAAAAUUUCUGAUUUGUGAUUGAAAAAUAAUGUGACUAACUAAAUUGUUAAUUUGUGACCAAAUUGUAUAGAUCUGUGACCUAAAUAUAUGUAAUUAACAAAAUAAAUAAAUAAAUAAUUAAAUCAUAAAUAAAUUUUACUAAAAAAUUGAUUUUUUAAGUUUGAAACUUGUUUUCUUAAUUUUGAAAUGUAUGAUACUUAUAUUUUUACUUAUGCAAUUUUCCCAUAAGUUUAUCAUUUUUUCAGGCGCACUUUAAUAUCCAAUUUUGUAUACGUUAGGAUUCGAUUAGCAACAACCUAAUUACAGUCAAGGUUAUAAAUGACGUUAGGCAUCGAGGCCAAGCCUCAAAUCUUACGAGCCAAGAAAUAGUAAAAUAUUUUUUUCUACUUUUAAUAUCAUUUUUAAUUAUUUUAUGCCAAUAAAUAAAAAAAUAGUGCAUACCUUGAAAGUUUAUGAAUAAUUCAAUUUAUUUUCAUUAGAUAUGAUCGCCAAUCUAUGUAUCAAGUGAUGCGCUAUGAAACAAAGGUCAAUGAAAUGCACGAAUAUGAAACUCAAUUUUUUAAGUUAUCAUUUAGUGUCAUAUCCCAUGAUGAUAUCUCUAAUGAAGACAUAGUAUUACUUAAAAUGUAUCUUAGUUGGCCACAAUGAUUUGGUUUAUGGCUUUCAGCUGAAAAGGGAAACGAAUUUUAGGCUUAAAACUGUCACAUGAAACGGGCUUGCAAAUGUUGAGAGUUGGCUUUUGUUUUGUAAAGAAGAAGAAGGAUGAAAAAACAUUAAGAAAAUGGAUGUUAAAGUUGCCAUUAGGUUUGUUCAUGGAAUGUUAGUUGAUAUAAAGUCUUUGAUUGGUGGAAAUUAAAAUUAGAUUUUUAGUAAAUUUUGAUAAGAGUUGAUAAAAUGUGUGAUUGAAAAUUUGUGGCUUCUAUGAGAUAUAUGUUUAAAAUUAAUUGUUGACUUGGAUUUAAAUUAAAAUUUUAAUUUUAACUUCUAUCAAAUAGGAGCAAAGUAAGAAAAUGGUUGUUAAAUGCAUCAAAAACCAUCUUGUUGUAAAGUCAAUUGGGUAGAAAGUGAAUUGCAGUGCACCAACAUACAAAAUAAACAAUUAUAUAUAUGUAGCACAACCGAUAAAAGUAUAUAAUGCUAUGAAAUUGGUACAAUACACACACACACACACACACAUAUAAAAUCCUAUUCUAGGCAAGUUAAAAGUUGAAUAAUAGAAAACAAGGAAUUAGGAACUAAUUUACAUACAUAAGGAAAGAAAUAAUAGAUUAUGCAAAGGAAUGUGAGUAAUUGCCUAUGCACUAAAAGAGAAAAUCAUAACUUUGGGGAUUUUCUUUAUCAUGCUUUUGUACGAUGAAGCAUCGUGAGGAGAUUCCGUUCUUGUCCUUCAAGAGUAGAAAAUGAGCACAUGAAAGUGGUUUGGUAAGGGUAUACGCCUACUGAUCUGUAGAAGAGAGAUGUGAGCCACUCGAAGAGUGCCAAUUUAAACUUGUUCACGAAUGAAAUGAUGGUCUAAAGCCACAUUUUCAUGCGAGCGUGAAAAACUAGAUUGGAAUAUAAAAUCGUAGCACAACAUUAUCACAAUAGAUUAUAGUUUGCUGCAGAAGAGAAAUACCUAAUUCAUUGAGAAUAGAGCAUAUCCAAAUGAGUUCAGGUACAGUAGUUGCAAAAGAGCGAUUUCGACCUCGGUAGACGAGUGAACCAUAGUGUGUUGCUUCUUAGAUCUCCAAAAAAUAGGAUUGCAACCAAGUAAAAUAAGAUAGGCACUAGAAGAGAUAAUCAUCCUUAUUGCAUGCUUAAUCUGCGUCGAAAAAUGCAUGGAGAGAUGGGAUGUAUAAAGAUAGAGAACAACAUCAUGAUCCAUGGUCUUACAGAGAUAGCGUAGUAGUCACUUAACAGCACUCCAGUGGUCACUAGAAGGUUGAUACAUAAAUUGAGAUAGCUUAUUCACCAUAUAAGCAACGUCAAGGUGUGUAAAUGAUAGAUGCUGGAGACUUCCAACAAUGGUAUGAUACCCUGUGGGAUUAGAGAGUACCAUGUUAGAGAUAAGAUUUAGUACAUGAGUAGUGGCAAUGGGUGUGGCAAUAGGAUUUGCAUUUGUCAUGUAUGUUGGAACAAGAUGAUCUUUUAUGUAUUGGCAUUGAGAUAGAAAUAAGCCUCACGAAUGGUGAAUCAUUUCAACUCCAAGAAAGUAAGCCAGUGGUCCAAGGUACUUGAGGAAAAUUGACUAGUAAGGAGCUGAAUGAAUUUUUAUAUAGCCCCUAACACUGUCACCUAUAACAAUGAUGUCGUCAACAUAAAACAAGAGUCAAAUCAUAGUACUAUCUUUGUUAGAGAUCUGCAUGAGAGUUGGUAAAGCCUGAGAUGACAAGAAUUAGUGCAACUUAUGAUACUAGGCUCAGGGAGCCUGUUUAAGACCAUAAAUAGCUUUGCUAAGUUUGCAAACAUGAAGAGGAUGAUCAUGAUCAAUGAAUCCUCGUGGUUGAGUCAUGUAUUCAUCUUCAAAAAAAGUACAUUGGAGAAAGGUAUUAUUGUUGCCUAAGAUACCACCCACGACUGAAAGCAAGACUAAGAGCUAGUCAAAACUUCACGUUGGACUAAAAAUGUUGUGAUAGUCACUCCUGAACACUGAUAAAACCCCUGUACAAAUAAGCAAGCUUUGUAACUAUCAAUAGAUCCAUCAAAUAAAUGCCUAGGGCAAAAAAAUUCAUUUGAAACAUACUCAUCGGAUAUUGCCUCACGCUAAUUGGGAUCCUUGAUGAUUUGAUUCACUGAUGCGCGUUCAAUAUCAUUAGAAGUAGCAAGAUGAGCAGUUACGUUCAAUUUAUCAAUUGGACCAUGGAUGUUGUUUUUAGAUCGAGUGAUAAUAAUUUGGGAAGGAGAGGCUAAAGUAGUGGAAGAGAAGUUGGUUGGUUCAGAUGAAGGGGUAUUUAAUGGAGGUGGGAUAGAUGUAGGCCUAAAUGAAUGUGAUAUAUUGUGUGGGGAUGGUUGAGCCACGGUAUUGGAACUUGGGCUUGAAAGGUCAUGGCAUGUGAAGGGUGGCACUGUAGCACUAUUAUUUGGAUUUGGAGACAUGGUGAGAUGAGAAGGGAAAGGGUUUUGGUGCAGAGGGUUAUAGGUGUUGAGGCCAUGGAUGAUGCGUUGGUAACUGGGAGGAAGGAUACAGAGGGACACUAAUCGGAUAUUGAUGUAGAUAAAGGACAGUCAAGACGAGUCUUAAGUGAAGUGAAAGGAAAGUGGACUCUAAAAUUGACAUAGUGUGAUAUAUAGAUGCGAGCGGAUGUAGGUUCAAGGCAUAGAUAAAUACUUUGAGUGGAAGAGUAAUCGAUAAAAACACAAGAAGAUGAAUGAAGAGCAAGUUUGUUAAACAAAUAAGGUCAGAGUCAUGUAUAACAAAGACAACCAAAACUAUGGAGUUUGGAGCAGUUUGGUGGGACACCAAAAAGUUUAGCCUAUGGGACAAAAAGUGAAGUGUAGGGAUGGGUAGACGGUUGAUGAGAUAAAUAGCAAUAGUGAAUUCAUAGGACCAAUAAGAAAGAGGCAUAGAUGCAUGAGAGCGGAGAGAUAGACCAAUUUCAACAAUAUGGCAAUGACGACAUUUAGAAUAGCUAUUGUGUUUUGGUAUGUAAAGAGGGGAUACUAUAUAAGUAAGAGAUAUCAUUGGUAGUUAGGAAGGAAGAGAGGCUUCAGGAGCGAAGCCAGGAAAUGAUUUUUGUGUGGGCUAAAAAUUAAAAAUGUUAAAUAAAUUCAACUACAAGAAAUCAAGUUUAGGAGAUUACGAUCAUUAUAUUCAUGACAAAUAAUAUUGGGCACUCAAUGAAAUACUAGUAUAGAUUCUCACUCUAAAAUGUCUCACUAGAUAUUAGUACUUUUUCUUGCGAAAUAUGAAAUCGACGCUCAUCUUAGAAAGUAUAAACUGAUAGAAACAAAUAAACAUAGGCAAAUGAUAUAUAUCCACCAAUCAAAAACUAAAAAAGUACUUAGGAAUUUUAUCCAUGUUUGAUUUAGCUUCUAUUAUAUACAUAUGAUCUUAUUAUUUAUAAAUAAAUUACUUAUUUUGAUAAUAAGAUUAAUUUCAUGGUCAAAACAAAUAAAUUUCUUUCUUAUAAGUAUGAAUAAGUUAUAUAUGAAAAUAUUUUUAAAAUUUACUUUAAGCUUAACCAAUCAUUUAAUAUCUCUUAAUAUUGAAAUAAAUAAUUUAUUUUAGCUCUAAUCAAUACAAUUUUAUUUAUUAUAAAAGUUUAUAUAUAAUUACAAGUAAAAUAUGCACUAAAUAAUAAAUUAAUUUGUUUAUAAAAUUGUUUACAUUUCAUUAGUAUCAUAAAAGAAUAGUUGAAUAAUUGGACUUGGGCUGUGACACAAUAUGAAACUGGGCUAAACAUAGAUAUUUGGGACAAUUCAACUAUAAAAUUCCUUUUCUCUUUCCAUGUGGGUUGGGGCAUAGCCCAUCCCAGUCCAAGCCCCUGCUAGAUUCUCCUCUGAGAAGUUUGAUAUUCUCCCGCAUUAUCUGAAUAAAGUGUGAUGAUUUUCUUAUUAAAGAAGUUUUUGACAAGUGAUUUAAAUCGAACAAAUACAUCAUAAGCAUGUGACUUUUGUUUGAGUGGGUAAAACCAUAUAUAUUUGUAAAGUGGUCAACGAAAAUACAUAAUACUUGAAGUCAUCAACGGAGUGAAUGGGAAAGGCCCACACAUAUAAAAAAAUGACAAUUUCAAGAGGAGAUGAAGUAACAAGAGAAGAAAUUGAGAAAGGUAAUUUGUGGCUUUUAUUGCAUUGACACAAGUUAACAUUUGAAUGUAAAGGACUUGGCAAUUCUAGAUGAAAUUUGGAGACAACGUGCCUAAAAAUUGAAGACGACGGAUGUCCUAGUCUAUGAUGCCGCUCGGACGAAGUGAUCUUGACUUUUGAGAAAUCCACUAAUGGAGAAGAUUUGACAAAGGAAGUUGGCCACUCAUACACACCAUCUUAGUCAGACCAUGCAAAAUCCUUGAAUUCAAUCACCCUCUCUCUUCAUAAUUUGAUACCAGUCGAGCAUCCUUUUCUUUAAUCAUCAAUAUCUUCACUUGGCACAGAUAAUUUCUCCUUCUCUACAUAUCCACAACUUGUCCAAUUGUCUUUGCUCUUGUGAUUCUUCUCACUGUUGAGCAAUAACUUUGAUUUUAGUGUACAUGUUCCUUACCUUAGGAGUUGAUGAUGACAUCUUAUUGAACUCAUCUUGAUUCAAGAACGAGUUUGAUGAGAUACGCGGAACAAAGAUUAGCAAGGACAAGGAAUUGUUGAUUGUCGAGGAAGGACCAAUGAAUAUGUCACGAACAAAGAAGAUCAAAGAAGCCACGUGAUUACAUGUUCAAGCUACGUUGGAUGAAGCAUCGAUCGCAACAAGUAAUAGGAUAAGUUUCAUGUUGGACAUGGAAGAAGAAAAAUGAUGGAUCAACUUGCUUCAAGCAGCAUGCUGCCGCAUAGCACAACUAGGCAUGUGACCGCAUGCUUCCAUACCGAGAGCAAGAGGAAGGUCAGGAAGUAGCCUAUGUGACCACACUCUUCAACAUUAUGCAGCCACAGAGUAUAGAAUUUAGAUGCGAAUUUUUCAAAUUUCACGUAAUCUUCUAUGUUAGUUAAAACUCUAUUUUAUGCUGUCUUUUGGUAUAUGUAGACUUUAUUUCAGUUUUAAUUAGAUUUUAUGAGUUACCCAUAAAUAGGACUUAUUCUUUUCAUUGUAAAAUACAUAAUUUUGAGAGAUAUUAUUACAAGGUAUAAUUGCUUUCUACGUUCAUUGAAUUAAUUUUCAAACAUAUCAAAAAUUAAUUUCUUGUGGUGUUCAACAGCUCACGAGUAGAAAGCAAUUAUACCUUGUAAUAACAUCUCUCAAAAUUAUGUAUUUUAUAAUGAAAAGGAUGAGUCUUAUUUAUGGUUAACUCAUAAAAUCUAAUUAAAACGGAAAUAAAGUCUAAAAAUACCGAAAGAUACCAUAAAAUAGAGUUUUAACACAUAAUAGGCACUAAUCUAAAUUCAAGAUCGUGUAGCCCCAUGUGUAUUCAAGCCUUUACGGUCAAGCUGUGCCAAGCUUGGCUUUAGAGGUGGACUCGCCUAUGAUAGUCGAGUUGGGACAAUAUGCCAUAUUUUGACACUUUUAUAUAAUAGCAAAUACAUAGUAAUAGAAUAUAUCUAAGUCAGUUGAAAUUAAAUUAGAAGAAAAAAAUGUGGACAGUAUGAUAAUCAAUAAAUAUAUAUAUUCAAUUUACAGUAAAAUAUAUGGAGUCUUUUCUACUCUUCUAAUCUACUAAAAACUAAAUGAGAGCAAUUUAUCAAUAAGUUCAUCAUCGAUGUCUUAAGAAGAGACGAAGUUAACACGAUUAACUGGGAUUUGAACUAACUCUCGAGCUACAUCCUUCAAUUCAAGCAUCCCUCCAUCUUUAAAUUUUGAUAGCAAUCGAGCAGCCUCUUCUUUAGUCAUCAAUAUCUUCACUUUAGUCCUAGAUAAUUUCUCCUUCUCGACAUGUCCACAACUAGUCAAGUUGUUUCUACUCUCGUGAUUCUUCUCACUUUCUUCUCUUUCAAGCAAUGGCUUUGGUUCAAUUUCGAAGUGUACUUUUUUUCUCACCUUAAGAGCCAAUGGCUUCUUGUUCAACUCAUCUCUAUAAAUAUAGUUUGGCACUUCUGGUUUUUUACAAAAUUGAAUUUCAGACAUUUUUUUAUGAGGUGAAGGAGUGAAGAAAGAGAGAAUAUUCAAUGGAGGAUGUGUAGAAAUAUGUACUAUGAGUCUAUUUAUAUAAUUUCGUGGUGGGACUAUGGCAUGGAGUGCAAUUUGGGAGUGUGGACCUAGUCUUUGAUGUUGUUUCAGUCUAUUAUCUUAUGGAAGUUAACCUUAGAAAAAACCUAGAACUCACGCAAGAGAAUAGGUAAACAAGAAAAAAUUGAAAGCUCCAGUUCUGGUAGACUUUGUAGACUUAAAUCCGCUCUUAGGUCUUCGUUGAUCACUUCUGCUUAAUUAAAGGACUUUUC